rnacentral:rRNA from 1 species
GACGAACGCUGGCGGCGUGCUUAACACAUGCAAGUCGAACGGAAAGGCCCUGCUUUUGUGGGGUGCUCGAGUGGCGAACGGGUGAGUAACACGUGAGUAACCUGCCCUUGACUUUGGGAUAACUUCAGGAAACUGGGGCUAAUACCGGAUAGGAGCUCCUGCUGCAUGGUGGGGGUUGGAAAGUUUCGGCGGUUGGGGAUGGACUCGCGGCUUAUCAGCUUGUUGGUGGGGUAGUGGCUUACCAAGGCUUUGACGGGUAGCCGGCCUGAGAGGGUGACCGGGCACAUUGGGACGGAGAGACGGACCAGACGCCAACGGGAGGCAGGAGUGGGGAAUAUUGCACAAUGGGCGGAAGCCUGAUGCAGAAACGCGGCGUGCGGGAUGACGGCCUUCGGGUUGUAAACCGCUUUCGCCUGUGACGAAGCGUGAGUGACGGUAAUGGGUAAAGAAGCACCGGCUAACUACGUG